UAUCUGUAUCGGCAUUCUCUCCAUGCUAUCAAGCGCAACUGUUAAGCAUUGUCCUGAAGACAACGACCGCUAUGUAAGGAACUGUAGAAACGGUCGAUAUCCGAAGCAGACCAGGUGGUGGUUCCAUGAUGACAAAGUUUAAUGGCGUCAGCAUCUUCCUGCAGUAACUAGUUUAAUAAUAAUUAUAGAUUAGACGAACAGAUCCCACUGUCAAGGA